GACGAACGCUGGCGGCGUGCUUAACACAUGCAAGUCGAACGGUAAGGCCCUUCGGGGUACACGAGUGGCGAACGGGUGAGUAACACGUGGGUGAUCUGCCCUGCACUUCGGGAUAAGCCUGGGAAACUGGGUCUAAUACCGGAUAGGACCCUGGGAUGCAUGUCCUGGGGUGGAAAGCUUUUGCGGUGUGGGAUGGGCCCGCGGCCUAUCAGCUUGUUGGUGGGGUGAUGGCCUACCAAGGCGACGACGGGUAGCCGGCCUGAGAGGGUGACCGGCCACACUGGGACUGAGAUACGGCCCAGACUCCGACGGGAGGCAGGAGUGGGGAAUAUUGCACAAUGGGCGCAAGCCUGAUGCAGCGACGCCGCGUGAGGGAUGACGGCCUUCGGGUUGUAAACCUCUUUCAGCACCGACGAAGCGCAAGUGACGGUAGGUGCAGAAGAAGGACCGGCCAACUACGUGCCAGCAGCCGCCGUAA
rnacentral:rRNA from 1 species